UACGUAGGUGGCAAGCGUUGUCCGGAUUUAUUGGGUUUAAAGGGUGCGUAGGCGGCCCUGUAAGUCAGUGCUGAAAUAUCCCAGCUUAACUGGGAGGGUGGCAUUGAUACUGCGGGGCUAGAGUACAGAUGAGGUAGGCGGAAUUGACGGUGUAGCGGUGAAAUGCUUAGAUAUCGUCAAGAACACCUAUAGCGAAGGCAGCUUACUAGGCUGUAACUGACGCUGAGGCACGAAAGUGUGGGGAUCAAACAGGG
rnacentral:rRNA from 1 species